rnacentral:tRNA from 1 species
AGGGGUGUCGUCAAGCGGUAAGACACAACACUUUGACUGUUGCAUUCGUAGGUUCGAAUCCUGCCACCCCUGCCA